GACGAACGCUGGCGGCGUGCUUAACACAUGCAAGUCGAACGGAAAGGCCCUGCUUUUGUGGGGUGCUCGAGUGGCGAACGGGUGAGUAACACGUGAGUAACCUGCCCUUGACUUUGGGAUAACUUCAGGAAACUGGGGCUAAUACCGGAUAGGAGCUCCUGCUGCAUGGUGGGGGUUGGAAAGUUUCGGCGGUUGGGGAUGGACUCGCGGCUUAUCAGCUUGUUGGUGGGGUAGUGGCUUACCAAGGCUUUGACGGGUAGCCGGCCUGAGAGGGUGACCGGCCACAUUGGGACUGAGAUACGGCCCAGACUCCUACGGGAGGCAGCAGUGGGGAAUAUUGCACAAUGGGCGGAAGCCUGAUGCAGCAACGCCGCGUGCGGGAUGACGGCCUUCGGGUUGUAAACCGCUUUCGCCUGUGACGAAGCGUGAGUGACGGUAAUGGGUAAAGAAGCACCGGCUAACUACGUGCCAGCAGCCGCGGUGAUACGUAGGGUGCGAGCGUUGUCCGGAUUUAUUGGGCGUAAAGGGCUCGUAGGUGGUUGAUCGCGUCGGAAGUGUAAUCUUGGGGCUUAACCCUGAGCGUGCUUUCGAUACGGGUUGACUUGAGGAAUUUAGGGGAGAAUGGAAUUCCUGGUGGAGCGGUGGAAUGCGCAGAUAUCAGGAGGAACACCAGUGGCGAAGGCGGUUCUCUGGGCCUUUCCUGACGCUGAGGAGCGAAAGCGUGGGGAGCGAACAGGCUUAGAUACCCUGGUAGUCCACGCUGUAAACGGUGGGUACUAGGUGUGGGGUCCAUUCCACGGGUUCCGUGCCGUAGCUAACGCUUUAAGUACCCCGCCUGGGGAGUACGGCCGCAAGGCUAAAACUCAAAGGAAUUGACGGGGCCCCGCACAAGCGGCGGAGCAUGCGGAUUAAUUCGAUGCAACGCGUAGAACCUUACCUGGGUUUGACAUGGAUCGGGAGUGCUCAGAGAUGGGUGUGCCUCUUUUGGGGUCGGUUCACAGGUGGUGCAUGGCUGUCGUCAGCUCGUGUCGUGAGAUGUUGGGUUAAGUCCCGCAACGAGCGCAACCCUUGUUCACUGUUGCCAGCACGUUAUGGUGGGGACUCAGUGGAGACCGCCGGGGUCAACUCGGAGGAAGGUGGGGAUGACGUCAAGUCAUCAUGCCCCUUAUGUCCAGGGCUUCACGCAUGCUACAAUGGCUGGUACAGAGAGUGGCGAGCCUGUGAGGGUGAGCGAAUCUCGGAAAGCCGGUCUCAGUUCGGAUUGGGGUCUGCAACUCGACCUCAUGAAGUCGGAGUCGCUAGUAAUCGCAGAUCAGCAACGCUGCGGUGAAUAAAUUCCCGGGGCU
rnacentral:rRNA from 1 species